rnacentral:rRNA from 1 species
AUUGAACGCUGGCGGCAUGCCUUACACAUGCAAGUCGAACGGGAGCACGGGUGCUUGCACCUGGUGGCGAGUGGCGAACGGGUGAGUAAUACAUCGGAACAUGUCCUGUAGUGGGGGAUAGCCCGGCGAAAGCCGGAUUAAUACCGCAUACGAUCCACGGAUGAAAGCGGGGGACCUUCGGGCCUCGCGCUAUAGGGUUGGCCGAUGGCUGAUUAGCUAGUUGGUGGGGUAAAGGCCUACCAAGGCGACGAUCAGUAGCUGGUCUGAUAGGACGACCAGCCACACUGGGACUGAGACACGGCCCAGACUCCUACGGGAGGCAGCAGUGGGGAAUUUUGGACAAUGGGCGAAAGCCUGAUCCAGCAAUGCCGCGUGUGUGAAGAAGGCCUUCGGGUUGUAAAGCACUUUUGUCCGGAAAGAAAUCCUUGACUCUAAUACAGUCGGGGGAUGACGGUACCGGAAGAAUAAGCACCGGCUAACUACGUG